rnacentral:misc_RNA from 1 species
UUGGUUCUCAGCAUCCACGGCAGG